GUGGUGGAGCAUCAUUACCCUGCCAGGGUUCGGUGGAGCGUUGCGUGAAGCGUCUGUGUCUCUGCGAGAUCUUGCUGUGGGCCAGGUCCGUGGGUGGUGGAGGAUCCUUUGCGUAGCAAAAAAGGAAGGCGAGUGCUCCUGCAUCCUCUCCAGACGGUACCCAGAACAUCCACCAUUAUUAGAACCAUCACCCUGCAGCUAGCUUGGACAUCAUUAAAAGGGCUCAUCAGAAGUAUCUGAUAUUCAUGAAGACAGAGUUUCAGGGUUUUCUGCCUGGAGCUACACCCUCCAGGAGCCCCUGCUUGGCUUCCCUUGCACCCAGCCCCAUCCCAACCAGUUACAACUUGGGCUGUGCAUGGUGUUUCUUGGAAACUGGAACACAGACUCC
rnacentral:lncRNA from 1 species